UCCCUGAUGACGGACAUUUUAUCCAGCGAAACUUUUUCCGAGCUGACUCAACAAAGCUUCUGUGGUCUUUCUGUUCUUUGCAUCUAGAGGAUGGGCAAAAGCGAGGUUUCCACUUCACUCAAGUCAUCCCCGGUGCAUCAAAAACUCUGACAUACCGUAGCAACCUAACUUUUGAAGAAGCCGGAUUAUCAAAUUGGCUAAUCACAUUGGUUUGGGAUUGAAUAGGGUUAGUUUGCGGAUGAUUCGGGAUCCAAAUUUGCAGCAAGAAAGGUUUCUGUAAUGCCUGCCAUGCUUACUUGAAUAACCUUGUGCAUAGCUACCAAGAAAUACCAUUAGAUUCUCAUUCUCGACACCGUUGCACAUCGAAGAACUAAGGCGUCAGUGAAAACUGUAGCCACGGGCGAAUCCAGACCUAACUAGCUCGACUAUGUUUUGGCAAGGGGCUUUCAAAUUACGGAAUUGCAUGGAAUGAAUUGAAGUUAUGAUUUAUAGUAGUUUUUUUUUUGGUUCAUUCCCUGUUCUUUAUUUCUUCAAUAGUUAUGAAUGGAGAAGAUACUCUUGUUCCAUACUUUGUCGAUAUCAUAAGUUUAAUAGAAAAGAUUGUUCUUGUUCCAAA